rnacentral:lncRNA from 1 species
UCGAACUCAUGACUUCCACCACGUCAAGGUGACCACGACUGAUCCUCAAAGGUAAUAGAUGGAAAAAAUAGCAUGCCGUAAUAAAAUUGACGGGAGGAGGACGGGUCAUUCACAUUUGAUUUGAUGGUCAGAGGCGAAUUAACCCAUUACAAAAUUGGAAAUUUUGAAUUUAAUCCAUUUUCUAAUCUAUUGUAUUCUUUUUCGAGAAUGCCGCCACUCGGACUCCAACUGAAAAUAGCGAGUUUUCUAAUCUAUUUUAUUUUUUUUGUUGUGCCUGGGCUAUUAGGCAAAGAGUUUAUAGGAGAGUUUAGAGUUUAUAGGAGACUAAUCUAAGAGUGAAUACUUCCUCAUUGACCGCGAAAUAGCCCUUGUAUAGAACGAAAUAGGUCUUGUAAUAGUAUAUGCAUGUAACAUACUAUCAAAAUGCAAACAUUGACCGCAACCAUGCACGUACACUCAACGCAAAUAACAUAUUACAUGUUUUACAUAUUUAUCAACAAACAAUCAUAAUUGUCACAAUAAACAUAGUUCUCUCAAAAAUGAAAAUAGUUUUUCACAAGUAAUCGUAGUUCUCACCAUAAACAUAAACAUAGUUGUCUCAUAAAUGAACAUAGUUUUGACAACUAAAGAGAAACAUGAUCAAGCUAAUCAACACGUUCAUCUAGUCCGAGUCACCUUCACAUAGUAACUCAUCAUCAUCAUUAUCAUCCCCAGCAAUAACAACUCCCUUCCCUUUCUUAUCCACACUAACCUUACCAACAGGUAAAUCGGCAACAAGAGCCUUCAUCGUCUCCAUCUGUGCCUCUUCCAUUUUUUCUUGUAACUCUUCCAUUUCAAUCCUUCUCUUUCUUGCCCUAACCUACUGCAAAUAUUCUUCCCAUGAACCCUUAGGGUAUUUCGCAUUCAGAUCAACCACAAAACCUAAGCGAUCUCUCUCCUCCCUCAACCUUUGUUUCUCCAACUCCCUCUCCUCCUGCAAUUUCCUCCUAUUUUCUCUCUUCUCAUUUGAAGUUAGAGGUCGUGGAUACUUGUUUCUGUUCUGCCUCCAAUACUUAAUAAUAGUUUCUCUCGCAUAAAGUCCUUCAGGCUCCACUCCAGUCUCAUGAAACCAUAUCUUGGUAUAUUUCCCCCCAAAGCAAGUUGCCGUCAGGGAUAGGCACAUCAUACUCCUUUCUAAUCUUUUUUAUUAGUUCUUGUUUUUUUCUUGACUUCCAAGGUUCUGAUGUAUUACCCAACUUUAAUAACAAAUCACAACGACCAGAAACAUCUUCCCAAUCACAUGUCCUUCCC